UACGAAGGGGGCUAGCGUUGCUCGGAAUUACUGGGCGUAAAGCGCACGUAGGCGGUCUUCUAAGUCAGGGGUGAAAUCCCGGGGCUCAACCCCGGAACUGCCUUUGAUACUGAUAGUCUCGAGUCCGGAAGAGGUGAGUGGAAUUCCGAGUGUAGAGGUGAAAUUCGUAGAUAUUCGGAGGAACACCAGUGGCGAAGGCGGCUCACUGGUCCGGUACUGACGCUGAGGUGCGAAAGCGUGGGGAGCAAACAGG
rnacentral:rRNA from 1 species